rnacentral:sRNA from 1 species
UACAGCACAGGCAAUGACAAUAAAAACUUCCCCACAAUGCAUUUUCAAUGUGCCUCAA